AUUGAACGCUGGCGGCAUGCCUUACACAUGCAAGUCGAACGGCAGCGGGGGAGAAGCUUGCUUUUCCUGCCGGCGAGUGGCGAACGGGUGAGUAAUACAUCGGAACGUGCCCUGUAGUGGGGGAUAACUAGUCGAAAGAUUAGCUAAUACCGCAUACGAUCUAUGGAUGAAAGCGGGGGAUCGCAAGACCUCGCGCGAUUGGAGCGGCCGAUAUCAGAUUAGGUAGUUGGUGGGGUAAAGGCUCACCAAGCCGACGAUCUGUAGCUGGUCUGAGAGGACGACCAGCCACACUGGGACUGAGACACGGCCCAGACUCCUACGGGAAGGCAGCAGUGGGGAAUUUUGGACAAUGGGCGAAAGCCUGAUCCAGCCAUGCCGCGUGCAGGAUGAAGGCCUUCGGGUUGUAAACUGCUUUUGUACGGAACGAAAAGGUUUGGCCUAAUAAGCUGAGCUCAUGACGGUACCGUAAGAAUAAGCACCGGCUAACUACGUGCCAGCCGCCGCCGUAA
rnacentral:rRNA from 1 species